UACGGGGGGGGCAAGCGUUGUUCGGAAUUACUGGGCGUAAAGGGCGCGUAGGCGGUUCGCUAAGUUGGAUGUGAAAACUCUGGGCUCAACCCAGAGCCUGCAUCCAAAACUGGCGGGCUAGAGUUCUGGAGGGGGUAGCGGAAUUCCUGGUGUAGCGGUGAAAUGUGUAGAUAUCAGGAGGAACACCGGUGGCGAAGGCGGCUACCUGGACAGAAACUGACGCUGAGGCGCGAAAGCUAGGGGAGCAAACAGG
rnacentral:rRNA from 1 species